UUUAAUGACUAAUAAUUGUCAUUGGAAGUUAAGCAGUUUAGUUGUAAUAUGGGAUAGGAUAUUGGCACAGUAUAGCACAAUACAAUUCCGUACAUAUAAUGUACUAUGUAGUGAUGAGUCAGAUGUUACAGUAUUAAUGUUACAGUAUUAGGAUUAUAGUUCAGAAGUGAAACGCUCUCUCAACAAGGUUGCUGGGUACCGCUACACAGAAACUCACUAUGAACUAUCAAUCAAUCAAUCAAUCAAUCAAUCAAACUUUAUUUACAUAGCACCUUUCAGACAAAUGAAAUUGCAAUUCAAAGUGUUUUACAAGUGAUUGACAAAACAUAAAAUGUUAAAAUGGAUUUACAGACUAAAGGUGGGUAGUUAAGAUAAUAAAAAAUACAUAAUAAAAUACAAUACAAACAAUAAAAAUAACAAGAAAUACAAUUACAAAAUAUUACACAAAGUAAAUUUUAUGAAAAAACAGUGAAAUGUUAAUAAAAUAAAAUGAAAUUAAAU